GACGAACGCUGGCGGCGUGCCUAAUACAUGCAUGUCGAGCGCAGGAAGCCGUCUGAACCCUUCGGGGGGACGACGGUGGAAUGAGCGGCGGACGGGUGAGUAACACGUAAAGAACCUGCCCAAAGGUCUGGGAUAACCACGAGAAAUCGGGGCUAAUACCGGAUGUGUCAUCGGACCGCAUGGUCCGCUGAUGAAAGGCGCUCCGGCGUCGCCCAUGGAUGGCUUUGCGGUGCAUUAGCUAGUUGGUGGGGUAACGGCCCACCAAGGCGACGAUGCAUAGCCGACCUGAGAGGGUGAUCGGCCACACUGGGACUGAGACACGGCCCAGACUCCUACGGGAGGCAGCAGUAGGGAAUCUUCCACAAUGGACGAAAGUCUGAUGGAGCAACGCCGCGUGAACGAUGAAGGCUUUCGGGUCGUAAAGUUCUGUUGUAAGGGAAGAACAAGUGCCGCAGGCAAUGGCGGCACCUUGACGGUACCUUGCGAGAAAGCCACGGCUAACUACGUGCCAGCCGCCGCCGUAAGAC
rnacentral:rRNA from 1 species